rnacentral:rRNA from 1 species
CCUACGGGGGGCUGCAGUGGGGAAUAUUGGACAAUGGGGGGAACCCUGAUCCAGCCAUGCCGCGUGUGUGAAGAAGGCCCUCGGGUUGUAAAGCACUUUCAGUGAGGAAGAACGCCUGGUGGUUAAUACCCAUCAGGAAAGACAUCACUCACAGAAGAAGCACCGGCUAACUCCGUGCCAGCAGCCGCGGUAAUACGGAGGGUGCGAGCGUUAAUCGGAAUUACUGGGCGUAAAGCGCGCGUAGGUGGCUUGAUAAGCCGGUUGUGAAAGCCCCGGGCUCAACCUGGGAACGGCAUCCGGAACUGGCAAGCUAGAGUGCAGGAGAGGAAGGUAGAAUUCCCGGUGUAGCGGUGAAAUGCGUAGAGAUCGGGAGGAAUACCAGUGGCGAAGGCGGCCUUCUGGACUGACACUGACACUGAGGUGCGAAAGCGUGGGUAGCAAACAGGAUUAGAUACCCUAGUAGUC